rnacentral:ribozyme from 1 species
AAAAGAACGAAGAGAGAAACCCGCAAGUUCACGUGUCCUUUUUUUUUUUUUUUUUUUCUACAAAAAAAAAAAAAA